GACGAACGCUGGCGGCGUGCCUAAUACAUGCAAGUAGAACGCUGAAGAGAGGAGCUUGCUCUUCUUGGAUGAGUUGCGAACGGGUGAGUAACGCGUAGGUAACCUGCCUGGUAGCGGGGAUAACCAUUGGAAACGAUAGCUAAUAACGCAUAAAAUUGAUUAUUGCAUGAUAAUUAAUUGAAAGAUGCCACUGCAUCACUACCAGAUGGAACUGCGUUGUAUUAGCUAGUUGGUGAGGUAACGGCUCACCAAGGCGACGAUACAUAGCCGACCUGAGAGGGUGAUCGGCCACACUGGGACUGAGACACGGCCCAGACUCCUACGGGAGGCAGCAGUAGGGAAUCUUCGGCAAUGGGGGGAACCCUGACCGAGCAACGCCGCGUGAGUGAAGAAGGUUUUCGGAUCGUAAAGCUCUGUUGUAAGAGAAGAACGGGUGUGAGAGUGGAAAGUUCACACUGUGACGGUAGCUUACCAGAAAGGGACGGCUAACUACGUG
rnacentral:rRNA from 1 species